CCAAGUGCGGCUGCUUACACAUGCAAGUCGAACGAUGAUGCCCAGCUUGCUGGGUGGAUUAGUGGCGAACGGGUGAGUAACACGUGAGUAACCUGCCCCUGACUCUGGGAUAAGCGUUGGAAACGACGUCUAAUACUGGAUAUGAUCACUGGCCGCAUGGUCUGGUGGUGGAAAGAUUUUUCGGUUGGGGAUGGACUCGCGGCCUAUCAGCUUGUUGGUGAGGUAAUGGCUCACCAAGGCGACGACGGGUAGCCGGCCUGAGAGGGUGACCGGCCACACUGGGACUGAGACACGGCCCAGACUCCUACGGGAGGCAGCAGUGGGGAAUAUUGCACAAUGGGCGAAAGCCUGAUGCAGCAACGCCGCGUGAGGGAUGACGGCCUUCGGGUUGUAAACCUCUUUUAGUAGGGAAGAAGCGAAAGUGACGGUACCUGCAGAAAAAGCACCGGCUAACUACGUGCCAGCAGCCGCGGUAAUACGUAGGGUGCAAGCGUUGUCCGGAAUUAUUGGGCGUAAAGAGCUCGUAGGCGGUUUGUCGCGUCUGCUGUGAAAUCCCGAGGCUCAACCUCGGGCUUGCAGUGGGUACGGGCAGACUAGAGUGCGGUAGGGGAGAUUGGAAUUCCUGGUGUAGCGGUGGAAUGCGCAGAUAUCAGGAGGAACACCGAUGGCGAAGGCAGAUCUCUGGGCCGUAACUGACGCUGAGGAGCGAAAGCAUGGGGAGCGAACAGGAUUAGAUACCCUGGUAGUCCAUGCCGUAAACGUUGGGCGCUAGAUGUAGGGACCUUUCCACGGUUUCUGUGUCGUAGCUAACGCAUUAAGCGCCCCGCCUGGAGAGUACGGCCGCAAGGCUAAAACUCAAAGGAAUUGACGGGGGCCCGCACAAGCGGCGGAGCAUGCGGAUUAAUUCGAUGCAACGCGAAGAACCUUACCAAGGCUUGACAUACACCGGAAACGGCCAGAGAUGGUCGCCCCCUUGUGGUCGGUGUACAGGUGGUGCAUGGUUGUCGUCAGCUCGUGUCGUGAGAUGUUGGGUUAAGUCCCGCAACGAGCGCAACCCUCGUUCUAUGUUGCCAGCGGGUUAUGCCGGGGACUCAUAGGAGACUGCCGGGGUCAACUCGGAGGAAGGUGGGGAUGACGUCAAAUCAUCAUGCCCCUUAUGUCUUGGGCUUCACGCAUGCUACAAUGGCCGGUACAAAGGGCUGCGAUACCGUAAGGUGGAGCGAAUCCCAAAAAGCCGGUCUCAGUUCGGAUUGAGGUCUGCAACUCGACCUCAUGAAGUCGGAGUCGCUAGUAAUCGCAGAUCAGCAACGCUGCGGUGAAUACGUUCCCGGGCCUUGUACACACCGCCCGUCAAGUCAUGAAAGUCGGUAACACCCGAAGCCGGUGGCCUAACCCUUGUGG
rnacentral:rRNA from 1 species